UGCCUGCUGUGGCCUGUAGGAAUGGGGGAGGCUGAGAGGGACUUCCCUUCACCCCCUCCCCUCCUCCAGCCUUCAGAGGAGGCCGCUUCCCUGUCACCAGACCUGAGGGGGCCCUCCCCUCCUCUUCCUUCACUGGCUAGACCUCCACCCUGGCCAGCACAGGAGGGGGCCCCGCCUGGCUCCCUCACCGCAGGGGCCGGCCGUGCCAGCGUUUCAGUGACCCCACAGGUGCCCUGGCUGGGCUCCAGCGGGGGAGAGGGGUGAAGAGAAGAACUCACCCAGGACCUGGAGCCCACCUGUCCUGCCAUCUUCUCUGCUAAGGCCCCACCCCACUGCAGUGCAGGGGCGGCCGAAUCCAGGGUGCCUUCCUGGGAGCAGAAACAUCUGAAGAGGACUGUGGAGAAGAGUGUGGGAUCGGUUCCCAAACCUGAGAGGGACAUAAAUUUUCCCCAGCAGCACCCCGGAAACGGAGGGUUCCUGGGAAGAUGAAACGGGAUGGCGUAUACAAGGCCCCGGACAGGGACAGGUUCCCCAGUCAGACACCCCCACGGGACGCCCUCCCCCAGGCUCCUAGCCGCUCCCGGCCCCCAGCUGGGGAAGACUGGAACUCAAAUGUGGCAGUGACCCAGAUUUCAACAGGGAACGAUUGAGCCACAAGAUGGAAGGCACAUGGGCUCCUGACUGGUUCCGUGGAGCAGAGUAAACCUUGUUCUUUAAGUCACAUGAUUGUUGGAACUCUUGUUUUGGCAGCUUGUUUUUUUAUCCUAAUUAACAUAGUUAAUUAACACAGAUAAAAUAAACAAUAAAAUAGAAUAGAGAGCUCAGGAACAUAUUCAUAUCCCUAUAUGGGAUCAUGGCAUAUGUUAGAGAUAUCGCUAAUCACAGGGAAAAGAAAGACUAGUUAAUAACACAGCUGUGACACGUCAUUCACAAAAAUAAAAUGUAGAUGUUUUAGUGACCUAAACAUGAAAAACAAUUAGAGGUUAAUAUUUUUCAUAACCAGAAUAAAGAAAGAUUUCUCGAAUAACACAAUAAGAACAACGAAUAAAAUAAAAAAUAGAUUUAUUUAACUUUAUUAAAAUUAAAUCUUGUCUAAGGCAAAAUAUACCAUAAGCAAGACUAAAAGGCAGGCAAUUUACUGGGAAAUAUUUGCAAUAUAUAACGUAUCUAUCAGAAUGUAUAAAGAAUGCCUAUAAUCUGUAAGAAAAAGACAAACAGCCAACAGAAAAGUAAGAAACAAUAUGAACAGACAAUUCACAGAAGAGGAUAGUCAAAUGGCCACUAAAGCCAUGAAAAGAAAAAUGAGAUACUUUUUUCACUCAUCAGAUUGGGAAAAAUUAAGAGGCCUAGUAAUAUAAAGUGUUGGUGAGAAUGUGAGGAAAAUGAUACUGCUAUACACGGCCGGUGGAAGUGUAAAUAUUUCCAUUCCGAGAGCAAAUAAGCAGCAACUAAUAACAUUUAAAAAUGUGCAUACUCUAUGACCUAUUCAGAAAAUUCAAUUUCUGGUUUUGUUCCCUGGAGAAAUUCCGACAUGUGCAUACAUAAGAUGUACACUGUACUACACUAUUGUUUAAAGUAGCCAAAUAUUGGAGACAAUAUAACUGAAUAUCUGUAGAGGAAUAAAUUAAUGAUAUAUGAUAUGUUUAUACAAUGGGAUAUUAUACAACACUUUAAGAGGAAUGAAUUAGAUCUAUACAUCUCCACAUGGAUAGUUUUAAAUAAUGUAAUGUGGGUCAAUAGAAACAAGAUUCAGAAUAAUAUGGAAAAUAUACCACUAAUAUACCUUUUAAAAUGUAAAAAUAGUAUAAA